AGAGUUUGAUCAUGGCUCAGGACGAACGCUGGCGGCGUGCUUAACACAUGCAAGUCGAGCGGAGGUAUUGAAGAUUUAUCUGAAAAUACUUUAGCGGCGGACGGGUGAGUAACACGUGGGUAAUCUGGCCUUAAGAGGGGGAUAACAGGAUGAAAAUCCUGCUAAUACCGCAUAAUUCUUAGAUAUCGCAUGGUAUUUAAGACAAAGAUUUAUCGCUUAAGGAUGAGCCCGCGGCGCAUUAGCUAGUUGGUGGGGUAACGGCCUACCAAGGCGACGAUGCGUAGCCGACCUGAGAGGGUGAUCGGCCACAUUGGAACUGAGACACGGUCCAGACUCCUACGGGAGGCAGCAGUGGGGAAUAUUGCACAAUGGGGGAAACCCUGAUGCAGCAACGCCGCGUGAGUGAAGAAGGCCUUCGGGUUGUAAAGCUCUGUCUUCGCUGAAGAUAAUGACGGUAAGCGAGGAGGAAGCCACGGCUAACUACGUGCCAGCAGCCGCGGUAGUACGUAGGUGGCAAGCGUUGUCCGGAAUUAUUGGGCGUAAAGGGUGCGUAGGCGGCUCUUUAAGUGGGAUGUGAAAUCCCCGGGCUUAACCCGGGAAUUGCAUUCCAAACUGGGGAGCUAGAGUGCAGGAGAGGAAAGUGGAAUUCCCAGUGUAGCGGUGAAAUGCGUAGAGAUUGGGAGGAACACCAGUGGCGAAGGCGACUUUCUGGACUGUAACUGACGCUGAGGCACGAAAGUGUGGGGAGCAAACAGGAUUAGAUACCCUGGUAGUCCACACUGUAAACUAUGGGUACUAGGUGUAGGGGGCGAAGCCCUCUGUGCCGCAGUAAACACAUUAAGUACCCCGCCUGGGAAGUACGAACGCAAGUUUAAAACUCAAAGGAAUUGACGG
rnacentral:rRNA from 1 species